rnacentral:rRNA from 1 species
ACGAACGCUGGCGGCGCGCCUAACACAUGCAAGUCGAACGGUUCUGAUGCGAGACUAAGCUAAUGGUGGUUCAUAUGGCUGGUCUUGUAAUCAGGAUAGUGGCGGACGGGUGAGUAACACGUGAGCAACCUGCCUAACGGAAUGGGAUAGCGUUUGGAAACGAACGGUAAUACCGUAUAACAUAUGCAGUGCGCAUGCACAGCAUAUCAAAGGAGCAAUCCGCCGUUAGAUGGGCUCGCGGCCAAUUAGGUAGUUGGCGGGGUAACGGCCCACCAAGCCGACGAUUGGUAGCCGGACUGAGAGGUUGAUCGGCCACAUUGGGACUGAGACACGGCCCAGACUCCUACGGGAGGCAGCAGUGGGGGAUAUUGCACAAUGGAGGAAACUCUGAUGCAGCGACGCCGCGUGAGGGAAGACGGUCUUCGGAUUGUAAACCUCUGUCUUAGGGGAAGAGUAAAAGACGGUACCCUAGGAGGAAGCCACGGCUAACUACGUGCCAGCAGCAGC